rnacentral:lncRNA from 1 species
AUGCCUUAAAGAGCAGUAUUGCUGCCCGCAUGUCCCACCUCCAGCCCUUUUUUGAAAGAAAAGGGUUUCUUCAAUUACCAUUUCCCAGUUUGGGAUGAAGAGACGUAAAGAAGCCCUCUAAUAAGGAAAUUACGCCGGGCCUCACUGUUAAUAGUACAGUGUUUAUCAGCAGCUGCCGCGGUUAAGAGGAAGCCACGGCCCCCUGUAGUCUGUACCUCCUAAGAUGGCAGGAUUUAGCUUGCGACCUGCUCAAGAUGGCCACA